AUGACGCCAACUGGAGAGCGGUUGCCAGACAACCCACCGAAGGGGCAAGCGGUUUUACCGCGUAAACUCUCAGGUAAAAGGACAGAGGGAGGGGC
rnacentral:ncRNA from 2 species